ensembl:lncRNA
AGAAAACCAGGUCAAGCAGAUUGUACAGAACGAAUGAAGACUCCCCUGAGAAUGACAGAGGUAGAAGCACCUUUCCGCGCGGUGAUGGCAGCGGCUAAAGGCGAGGAGGUCUUAAAUACCGCAAGCGACACCGGAGAGGACUGGGUUCGUAAUCAGCAGGCACUAUGCCCGCUCUUCUUGUGGUCCCAGGUCAUUAGGUCCCGGGGUUUUGUUCAGUUUAGGAGUCACAGGCACUAAGCACGAUGGUCCAGGUAUGGCACAAGAGUGACCUUGGCUGGAACCUUCCUCCCAGUCACCUGAGCUACCUAGCCCACCAACCCUGCGAGUGGGAAAGCAGACCGCUAGUAUCCUCGAGCCUUGGCGGCGCAUUCGAUCGCCACUUUCCCCACCCAAGUGACUUGGGCCGCCAGGGACCAGGAUCGCAAAACGAACAAACCAGGAUCGCAAAACGAACAAACGGAGAGCUAAGUGGUUUCUCUGCUGUCUUCAAGUAGUGGAAUCUUCUCCAUCCUUCUCUGGGGCUUCAGGACAAGCAUGCUAUGUUUGGAGAAUUUGAAGAUCACUACAGACUUUUCUUUGGACUCUCUAAUCAAAGAUAAGAAUGAAAAAAAAAUCUGUCAAGACUAGAAAGAUGGCUCAUUUUUUAAGAGCAUUGACCUGGGUUCAAUUCCCAGAACCCAAAUGAUGGCUCACAACCAUCUGUAACUUCAGUUCCAGGGGAUUCAGUGCCCUCUUCUGGGCUCUGAGGACACAAGGCAUGAAAGUGUAUGUAGACACAAAAUGCAGAUAAAGCACUCAUACACAUAGAAUAAAAAUAAACAAAUCUUUUAAAAGGUCAUUCUGUCCACUGGCAUUGCAAAGUUGGUAGAAUGCACAUCUUCAGGAUGAUCAAUGACAUAUUUCGAAUCCUUAAAAAUCAACUAUGUGGCUAGUAUGUCAUAUAUACAUAUAUGUAUAUAUACACACAUACAUAAUAUACAUAUAUAUGUACACACACACACACACAUAUAUAUAUAUAUAUAUAUAUAUAUAUAUAUAUAUAUAUAUGUCAGUAUUGCAGUGCUAGGGAUCAAACCCAUGACUGUGUGCAUAUAAGUCAAGUGCUCCACCAAUGGAGCUACAUCCUCAACCCCUAUUAGAUUAAUCAGUUUUGACACUUAGAACAGAAAGAGUACUGACUGACAUGGGCUACACACAAAGUAACCCAUGGCUGAUGGCUGUAUACAUGAGGAUACUGGUACUGCUAUCUUGAACCUUCUUUCUGCUUGGAUCAGUUGUUCAGUGAUCAAGCAUUCCUUUGAAGCUCUAUAUGUUAAAAGGAAAAAGGUGCAACAUUUCCAAUCCCUAACCAUAAUGUCCAUUUUGCUAAAAAGAGAUGUAAACUAUGAGCAGACUCUAACUGCAGCUGACAUAUCCUUCCUUUUGCAGCUCUGCCCAUAGGACAAUCUGCUGGCUAUUGUUUCACCAUUGGUGGGCAUAUACAUAUACAUAUGUAUACAUGUAAUGAAACUUUUAAUUUUUUAAAUAUUUAAUUCAUAGGAAGUUUCAAAGAUAGUAAAGGUGGAUCCCCAUGAACAAGCAAGCUCCUGCAACUAUUAUAUCUAAAAAAUUUUAUUUUAUAUUUAUUUAUUUGUGUGUGUGUGUGUGUGUGUGUGUGUGUGUGUGUGUGUGUGUGUGUGUCUGUGUGUGUGUGUCUGUGUUCAGUUGCCUGAGGAGGCCAAAAGAGGACUGUGGAUUUCCUGGAGUUGGAGUUACAAUUGGUUGUGAGCCCCUCAAAGUGGGUGCCAAACUUGGGUCCUCUGCAAAAGCAGCAAGCACUUAGCUGUUGAUACAUCUCUCCAGCCUCAGUGAGUACCUCUUAUGUAGUUUUUGCGCUCUCUUAAAACAGGGAUAUUACAUUAGUACAGGUGUGCCAAAUCCUCUAUCAUUUUAUCACAAAUAGACAUGUGCAGUGUCUUACAAAUAGACACACAUGACCACUAUGGCUGCUGGAACACAGAACACCACCACACCAGGAAGCUCACACCACACGCACCCCAUUGCACCCAGCUCCCUAACUCCUAGCAACCACUAGUUUUCUCCUCCUCUAUAAUUUGGUUAUUGCGAGA